rnacentral:rRNA from 1 species
CGAGCGCAGGCGGUUUUUAAGGUUCUUGAUGUGAAAGACCUUCGGCUUAACCCGGAGAAGUAGCAUCGGAAACUAGGGAGACUUGAGUGCAGAAGAGGACAGUGGAACUCCAUGUGUAGCGGUGGAAUGCGUAGAUAUAUGGAAGAACACCAGUGGCGAAGGCGGCUGUCUAGUCUGUAACUGACGCUGAGGCUCGAAAGCAUGGGUAGCGAACAGGAUUAGAUACCCUGGUAG